CCUCAACCAUGGUCUGCCCACCAAAAAUUCAAAUAUGAGUAGAUCAACUUAAAACAUUUAAUGACUUUGAAAAGUUGUUAGGAAACAUAAAUUGGAUGAGGCCUUAUCUAGGCAUACCAACAGGAGAGUUGGGACCUUUAUUUGAUAUCCUAAAAGGUCCAUCAGAUCCAAAUUCACCCCGAAUGUUAACGCCUGAAGCAAGAAAGUCAUUAAAACUCAUUGAAACAUAUAUGAAAAAUAUGCAUUUGGAUAGAAUUGAUACAAGUUUGCCUUUUUUAUUUAUUGUACUACCAACAAAAAAUAUUCCUACAGGAGUAUUUUGGCAAAAAGGUCCAUUAUUAUGGAUACAUUUAUCUUAUUCUCCUAACACUAUUCUUACUAGGUAUCCUGAGGCUGUAGGACAAUUAAUACUCAAAGGAAUAAAAGCAGCAAAGGGAGUGUUUGGAAUUUCUCCCAAUAAAAUUAUUACUCCAUAUAAUGUGGAUCAAAUUCAUGAGUUAGCUAAUGAGUUAAAUACUUGGGCAAUAAUCAUGUGCAAAUCUAAUGUUUCAUUUGAUAACCACUUACCAUCUAAUCCUUUGUUGUCUUUUUGGUCCUCACAUCCUACAGUUUUUCCAAGAAUGACAAGAAAAACACCUAUCAUGAAUGCUCCAAAUAUAUUCACUGAUCGAUCAAGGAAUGGUACAGCAACAGUAGUUACCCCUGAUCAAGGUUUUACAUUUUUAAUACUUGAACAAUCAGCUCAAAAGGUUGAACUUAAUGCAGUAUUAAAAGCUUUUGUGAUGUUUAAAGGUUCCGUAUUUAAUUUAUUUUCUGACAGUUUAUAUAUAGUUAAUGCUAUAAAUUACCUUGAAGAUGCUGGUAGGAUUUCCCCUUCCUUUAUUGUUUUCCAAUAUACAAAGUCUAAUCUGGGACAGAAAAGAUCCAUUCUUUAUAGGAUAUAUCAGGGCACAUACAGGAUUGCCUGGAGCCCUUAGUUUGGGCAAUGAUUUAGCAGAUAAAACAACAUAUGACAUACAUAUAUUUUUCUGUACUAGAAGAAGCUACAAAUUUUCACAAAUCCUUCCAAGUUAAUGCUAAUACUUUAUGAAAGCAUUUAAAAAUAACUAAGGAACAAGCUAGACAUAUAAUAAAACAAUGUCAAAAUUGUGUGACCUUUAUACCACAAGUUAAUCUUGGAAUCAAUCCUAGAGGACUGAUACCUAAUCAUAUCUGGCAAAUGGACGUCACACAUUUGCCAGAAUUUGGAAAAUUAAAAUAUUUACAUGUUUCCAGAUAUUUGAUGGGCUCCCUUCAUGCCAGAGAAAAAACUAAAGAUGUUAUAGCUCAUUGCUUACAAAAUUUUGCCACUGUGGGCAUUCCAAAACAGUUAAAAACAGAUAAUGGCCCUGGCUAUAAUUUUGCUUCUUUUAAACAAUUUUGCCAUAAUUUGACAUUACUCAUAUAACAGGUAUCCUGUAUAAUCCAUAGGGACAAGGCAUAGUUGAAAGAGCCCAUCAAACUAUUAAGAUGUACUUAUUAAAACAAAAAGAGGGAAUUGGGAAAGGAUAUAAAUCCCCCAAAGAUAAAUUUAUCAUAACCCUUUUUAUGUUAAAAUUUUUUAAUUUGGAUUCAUCAGGACUUAGUGCUGCGGAAAGGCACAUGUGUCCAAAAAAUGUACAUAAGCCAAAGGUACUUUGGAAGGAUAUUCUAACUGGACAAUGGAAAGGUUCUGACCCAGUGAUUUUCUGGAGUCAGGGGUCUGUUUGUGUGUUUCCACAGGGAGAACAGCAGCCAAUUUGGAUUCUAGAGAGACUAACUAAAGCGAUUUCUACAGACCAAGAAGAAGAUGAUUUGGCUCAAAAUCCAUAACAGCUGAUAUCCAGAACUCCAGUUUAGCUAUCUUUACAUCUGAAAAAAUGGUUCCCACACCUGGAGGCUAAUGAAUAAUAGCACCAUUAAGGCCUAUUUCAAAUGUAAAAAACCUUGAGGCUUACUUAUGGGAAUACCUUCAAACCCAUAUGCAAGUUACAAGAAGAAGUUUUCU
rnacentral:lncRNA from 1 species